rnacentral:rRNA from 1 species
AUUGAACGCUGGCGGCAUGCCUUACACAUGCAAGUCGAACGGCAGCACGGGAGCAAUCCUGGUGGCGAGUGGCGAACGGGUGAGUAAUAUAUCGGAACGUGCCCAGCCGUGGGGGAUAACGCAGUGAAAGCUGUGCUAAUACCGCAUACGAUCUACGGAUGAAAGCGGGGGAUCGCAAGACCUCGCGCGAUUGGAGCGGCCGAUAUCAGAUUAGCUAGUUGGUGGGGUAAAGGCCCACCAAGGCGACGAUCUGUAGCUGGUCUGAGAGGACGACCAGCCACACUGGAACUGAGACACGGUCCAGACUCCUACGGGAGGCAGCAGUGGGGAAUUUUGGACAAUGGGCGCAAGCCUGAUCCAGCAAUGCCGCGUGCAGGAUGAAGGCCUUCGGGUUGUAAACUGCUUUUGUACGGAACGAAACGGCCCUUUCUAAUACAGGGGGCUAAUGACGGUACCGUAAGAAUAAGCACCGGCUAACUACGUGCCAGCAGCCGCAGUAA